UGUGAGGCAUGUGCCGGACAGACCAGGGCCGGCCUCGCUGGGAAGCAAGGUCUGGCCCCUUGGUGUCUGUUUUCCUGGUCCCCAGGAAGGCCCCAGAGGAUGGUAGUGAAUGUCAGCCCUGGGUCCGGGUUCUCCUACUCCAGACUCACAGGGAGUUCCGGCCCUGUGUGGUCCCUGUAAGCCCCACAUCUGUGCCGAGUGCUGUGUCUUCCGAGGAAUAUUGCUGUUGGUGUUUAUCCAGGCUUGGGAGUGAAGAUGGAAGUCAGAGGACAGCAAGGCGGAGCUGGAGCAGAGGUCCUGGGCAGCAGGGAAGGUGUGGCUCAGUCUUGGAGACGACGCCCUUUGGGGCAGACAGGAGAGACUGGGAGUCACUCCACAUGGUCCUGUGUUUUCCCCAGAGCGAACCUCAGGCCAUUUCUCCUGCAGAACUGGCAAUGUGGGGUUUAUCUGUCUGCGCGGGCAGCCUGAGGUGGGGCUCUCUCCCGGGGGACUCUCUCUAGACUCUGUUCUAGUCCUGGCUCGGCUACUUCUCAGCUGUGUGGCCUUGGGAAAGGAACCUGACCUUUCCCGGUUUCCUCCUGUGAAAUGGAGACGUGACCUCUGUAUGGUUGGGAGAUCAAAGUGAGACCUUGCUUCCAAACCACACCCUCAACUCUUAGAUGGCCAGUUAUAAAUGGUAACUGAGAUAAUCAACAGAAAGCACCCAAUAAGGGAGCUGGGAUAUGGCAACUGCUCAACAAAUGUUAAUUCCCUCCCAGGUGACUCAAAUUUCAAACACAGCUUGUUCCCAACUCCCCUCAAGUCCUUCCUCCACCCCCACCCACGACCUCACACUUGCACCAUCUGCAUUUCCUCUGUCAGGGUGUGGUACCAAGGGCUGCCCAGCCCAGAGACUGGAGCCAUCUUCUCCUUUUGCCCUAUGUCCCCUGGGUUCCCAAGUCCCAUCUAUUCUGCCCCUAGCUCAUAUCAGUCUUCCUCAGCAUUGCUGCUAACACCAUCUAAACCGUGAGGCAAAGACUUAAAGACUUCUAACUGGGCUCCAGGACUCCGUUCCCUCUCCGGCUGCAAUCUGCCUUCCACGCACCUGAUUAAAGCACAAAGCUGGGACUUCCCUGGUGGACCACUGGCUAAGACCCCGUGCUCCCAAUGCAGGGGGCCAGGGUGUUCGAUCCCUGGUCAGGGAACUAGAUUCCAUAGCAGCUUAGAGUUUGCAUGCCUCUACUAAAGAACUCAUGUGCCACAAGUAAAACCUGGUGCAGACAAGUAUAUAAAUAGGUAUUUAAAAAAUAAAACGCAAAGUCAGCAUGUCGUGCCUACGUCAACAGCUGCCCCCCGCCCCCCGACGUCUGUGGGUGAUACACAAGCACAGUAGCAUGAAGGUCUCGUGUCAGGCUUGUCGAUUUCCCAUCGUGCUUUCAGGCCUGAAGUCUUUGCCCAUACCGUUCCUCUGCCCAGCGCGUUUCCCUUCUCUCAUUCUCAUGAUUAACCCUUAUUUUUCCAUGAAGGCACAGCUCAGGUGUCACAUCCCUCAGAGAGACUUUUGUGACCUUUUCCUUCCCCUUAGCUUGGGUUAGGAGCUGCACCUCCAAGCUCUGGUGGCAAGUAACUCCCUGGCAUAGAGCACUAAAGUUGUCUCAUUAUUUGCCAUCUUUUCCUACUAGACUGUGAGCUGCAUAAGUGCAGGCUCUGUAGUUAUUCAUUAGAUAUCAAAUACAUAUUUACCAAAGCCUACUUGAUCAGCCGGAAGCAGAGUUAGGCCCUAGAGAUGCUAGGGUGAGGGGCAAAUGAGCCCCGACUGUGCACUCAGGGAUCUUAGUGUUGCAAGUGUGAGUUGCUCAGUCAUGUCCGACUCUGUGUGACCCCAUGGACUGUAGCCUGCAAGACUCCUCUGUCCAUGGGGUUCUCCAGGCAAGAAGACUAGGAUGGGUGGCCAUGCCCUCCUCCAGGGGAUCUUGCCUGACCCAGGGCUUGAACCUGGGUCUCCCACAUUGCAGGCAGACUCUCUACCAUCUGAGCCAGCAGAGAGUUGUGUUCCUUG